GGGGUUUUGGCUCAGCGGUAGAGCAUUCGCCUAGCAUGUGCAAGACCCUGGGUUCGAUCCUCAGCACCUCA
rnacentral:tRNA from 1 species